UGAGUACGAGCGGCUACGGCCGCGAAGUGGAUGAUGUCAAGCUUCCAAGAAAAGCCCUAUACCCGUUAAGGCAUGAUGGCCUGUACCCGAAACCGACACAGGUGGGGUGGUAGAGAAUACCGAGGGGCGCGAGGUAACUCUCUCUAAGGAACUCGGCAAAAUGGCCCCGUAACUUCGGGAGAAGGGGUGCCACCGCGAGGUGGUCGCAGUGAAGAGGCCCAGGCGACUGUUUACCAGAAACACAGGUCUCCGCUAAGUCGCAAGACGAUGUAUGGGGGCUGACGCCUGCCCAGUGCCGGAAGGUUAAGGAAGCUGGUCAGCGCAAGCGAAGCUGGCGACUGAAGCCCCGGUGAACGGCGGCCGUAACAAUAACGGUCCUAAGGUAGCGAAAUUCCUUGUCGGGUAAGUUCCGACCCGCACGAAAGGCGUAACGAUCUGGGCGCUGUCUCGGAGAGAGGCUCGGCGAAAUAGAAUUGUCUGUGAAGAUGCGGACUACGUGCACCCGGACAGAAAGACCCUAUGAAGCUUUACUGUAGCUUGGUAUUGUGCUCGGGCUCGGAAUGCGCAGGAUAGGUGGGAGGCUUUGAUCCAUUGCUUGCGGGUGAUGGUGAGCCACCGGUGAGAUACCACUCUUUCCGAGCUAGAGUUCUAACAGCAACCCGUUAUCCGGGUGCUGGACAGUAUCAGGUGGGCAGUUUGACUGGGGCGGUCGCCUCCUAAAAGGUAACGGAGGCGCGCAAAGGUCUGCUCAGGCUGGUUGGAAAUCAGCCGACGAGUGUAAAAGCAGAAGCAGGCUUGACUGUGAGACCUACAAGUCGAACAGGGAGGAAACUCGGCUUUAGUGAUCCGACGGUUCUGCGUGGAAGGGCCGUCGCUCAACGGAUAAAAGUUACUCUAAGGAUAACAGGCUGAUCUCCCCCAAGAGUUCACAUCGACGGGGAGGUUUGGCACCUCGAUGUCGGCUCAUCGCAACCUGGGGCUGAAGUCGGUCCCAAGGGUUGGGCUGUUCGCCCAUUAAAGCGGUACGCGAGCUGGGUUCAGAACGUCGUGAGACAGUUCGGUCCAUAUCCGGUGCACGCGCAGGAAUAUUGAGAGGAUUUCUCCCUAGUACGAGAGGACCGGGAGGAACGCACCUCUGGUGUGCCAGUUAUCGUGCCAACGGUAAACGCUGGGUAGCCAUGUGCGGAGUGGAUAACCGCUGAAAGCAUCUAAGUGGGAAGCCCACCUCAAGAUGAGUAUUCCCAUGGCAUAAGCCAGUAAGGUCACGGGAAGAACACCCGUUGAUAGGCUCUACGUGGAAGCGCAGUAAUGUGUGAAGCGGAGGAGUACUAAUAGACCGAGGGC
rnacentral:rRNA from 1 species